rnacentral:rRNA from 1 species
UACGGGGGGGGCAAGCGUUGUUCGGAAUUACUGGGCGUAAAGGGCUCGUAGGCGGCCAACUAAGUCGGACGUGAAAUCCCCCAGGCUCAACCUGGGAACUGCGUCUGAUACUGGAUGGCUUGAAUCCGGGAGAGGGAUGCAGAAUUCCAGGUGUAGCGGUGAAAUGCGUAGAUAUCUGGAGGAAUACCGGUGGCGAAGGCGGCAUCCUGGACCGGCAUUGACGCUGAGGAGCGAAAGCAUGGGGAGCGAACAGG